GACGAACGCUGGCGGCGUGCUUAACACAUGCAAGUCGAACGGAAAGGCCCUGCUUUUGUGGGGUGCUCGAGUGGCGAACGGGUGAGUAACACGUGAGUAACCUGCCCUUGACUUUGGGAUAACUUCAGGAAACUGGGGCUAAUACCGGAUAGGAGCUCCUGCUGCAUGGUGGGGGUUGGAAAGUUUCGGCGGUUGGGGAUGGACUCGCGGCUUAUCAGCUUGUUGGUGGGGUAGUGGCUUACCAAGGCUUUGACGGGUAGCCGGCCUGAGAGGGUGACCGGCCACAUUGGGACUGAGAUACGGCCCAGACUCCUACGGGAGGCAGCAGUGGGGAAUAUUGCACAAUGGGAAGCCUGAUGCAGCAACGCCGCGUGCGGGAUGACGGCCUUCGGGUUGUAAACCGCUUUCGCCUGUGACGAAGCGUGAGUGACGGUAAUGGGUAAAGAAGCACCGGCUAACUACGUG
rnacentral:rRNA from 1 species